AGUGCGGCCGUCAUGGCGUCGCCCUUCAGCGGGGCGCUGCAGCUGACGGACCUGGAUGACUUCAUCGGGCCGUCUCAGGAGUGCAUCAAGCCUGUCAAAGUGGAAAAAAGGGCGGGAAGUGGCGUGGCCAAGAUUCGCAUUGAAGAUGACGGGAGCUACUUCCAAAUUAACCAAGUAAGGCACAGGAGGCUGCUCCACCAUCUCUCCUGCCCGGCUGAUCCAAAACACUUUUCUCUGCUUCCUCCCGGCACGGAGCAGUGACCCUGAGACGCCCCAGGUCUCACCAGUCCUUUCCCACUGGUCGAAUUCACCUGCCAUCUGGGAGGCUGGGGGGCAGGGUGCCUGGGGCAGGUGAAUGAGCAGCACUCAGGCCAAAUAGCUUGAUCUGCUCAGCAGAGGGGCUCUUUGCAGAGAUGGUGGAUCCUGUCUGCCUGUUCCCCCUAGUUCUAACCAUGUAAGAUUUUCUAAUUCAGACCCCUCAUUCUUUUUUUUU
rnacentral:sRNA from 1 species